rnacentral:rRNA from 1 species
CUAGCGACCUCCACGAACACUGGCGGCGUGCUUAAUACAUGCAAGUCGAGCGAGCGGAACUAACAGAUUUACUUCGGCAAUGACGUUAGGAAAGCGAGCGGCGGAUGGGUGAGUAACACGUGGGGAACCUGCCCCAUAGUCUGGGAUACCACUUGGAAACAGGUGCUAAUACCGGAUAAGAAAGCAGAUCGCAUGAUCAGCUUUUAAAAGGCGGCGUAAGCUGUCGCUAUGGGAUGGCCCCGCGGUGCAUUAGCUAGUUGGUAAGGUAAAGGCUUACCAAGGCGAUGAUGCAUAGCCGAGUUGAGAGACUGAUCGGCCACAUUGGGACUGAGACACGGCCCAAACUCCUACGGGAGGCAGCAGUAGGGAAUCUUCCACAAUGGACGCAAGUCUGAUGGAGCAACGCCGCGUGAGUGAAGAAGGUUUUCGGAUCGUAAAGCUCUGUUGUUGGUGAAGAAGGAUAGAGGAAGUAACUAUGCACGUCUUGACGGUACCUAAUCAGAAAGCCACGGCUAACUACGUGCCAGCAGCCGCGGUAAUACGUAGGUGGCAAGCGUUGUCCGGAUUUAUUGGGCGUAAAGCGAGCGCAGGCGGAAGAAUAAGUCUGAUGUGAAAGCCCUCGGCUUAACCGAGGAACUGCAUCGGAAACUGUUUUUCUUGAGUGCAGAAGAGGAGAGUGGAACUCCAUGUGUAGCGGUGGAAUGCGUAGAUAUAUGGAAGAACACCAGUGGCGAAGGCGGCUCUCUGGUCUGCAACUGACGCUGAGGCUCGAAAGCAUGGGUAGCGNNNAGNAUGCGUAGAUANCCUGGUAGUCCAUGCCGUAAACGAUGAGUGCUAAGUGUUGGGAGGUUUCCGCCUCUCAGUGCUGCAGCUAACGCAUUAAGCACUCCGCCUGGGGAGUACGACCGCAAGGUUGAAACUCAAAGGAAUUGACG